rnacentral:rRNA from 1 species
ACACACACAACUCUCAGCAAUGGAUCUCUAGGCUCUGGCAUCGAUGAAGAACGCGGCGAACUGCGAUACGUGAUGCGAAUUGCAGAUUCCAGCGAGUCAUUGAAUCUUUGAACGCACAUUGCGCCCGUUGGUAUUCCAGCGGGCAUGCCUGUCUGAGCGUC